rnacentral:rRNA from 1 species
UACAGAGGGUGCAAGCGUUAAUCGGAGUUACUGGGCGUAAAGGGCGCGUAGGCGGAAGAUUAAGUGAGAUGUGAAAUCCCCGGGCUUAACCUGGGAACUGCAUCUUAAACUGAUUUUCUAGAGUAUUGUAGAGGGUAGUGGAAUUUCCGGUGUAGCGGUGAAAUGCGUAGAUAUCGGAAGGAACGCCGGUGGCGAAAGCGGCGUGCUGGACCUCUUCUGACGCUGAGGCGCGAAAGCCAGGGGAGCGAACGGG